GGCUGAUAGAGUAAACAAAUAAUGUGCUUCGUGUGAUUAUUCUCAAUUAUCGUAUAAAAAAUCUUAUUAUUUGUGUAAGCUAGUCAUCAGCAGGGAAUUAAACACGAUGGCGGUGGCGACGGUGGAGAGCUCGACACUAGAUAAGAUACUAAGUUUUGUUAAUGACAAUGGCUACAAAGAACUCAUGCAGAAUUCUGCCAAAUUCAAUAUCAGAAUUCGCAAAGACCGAAUAUACAGGCAGCCAUACAUUGAUGGACAGACAGGUGUGGCACAGCGACACUGCCAUCUCUUCGUGAGCGACAAGCAACGCAUGCCGGGAAUACUUCAGGGGCAAGUGUACACAUACCCUGCCAGACGCUGGAAGGCACAGAGACGGUCCUACCUCGGCUCCCUUAUGCAGGCUAACCAAGCUGACCCAGACGAGCACACCAUCACAACUGUAGAGAACCCAGCGGCCAUUGUUGCAGCCGUGGAGGAGCCAGUCCAACCAGAAAAAGUACCUGUGGUGAGAAAUCCACCGGUAAGUUUUGCUGAGACUUGGGCAUACUACGAUGAACCUCCCUUUGAAGACGAGUUGGAGGACGAGUUCGAGUCGGAGGAAGACUUUGACGACGAGACAUAUAAUCGCAAGGGCAAGCGGAAGAAACAAGCCUUGGGGAGAAAGCCGAGCAAGUGCACUCCUUUGUUUAUGCUCACAAUGAGACUGCUGGGGGAUUACCUAAGAAAAGCAGCAAAAAGAAGACGGCAGAGAGCGGCGGACAGAGUGGACGGAGGAAAAAGUCGACCCCAAAGACCCCGUCAAAGACCCCGAAGAACAUCAAGAAGGAGGAAGAUGACCCAUCAGGCAAGCCCUAUGCCUGCGAACUGUGUGGGAUGCGGUACAAGACGCGGCCUGGCCUUACUUACCAUUAUGCCCACUCGCAUAAGGAGGAGAAGGAGGAGGAGGCUAAAGCUAAAGCCCCGACUAGGGCUAACGAGCAAUCCCAGGCUUACGACUCAAGCCCAGACUUCUUGCCAGGCUUGCCACCGCAGCAGGCCUCGGCGUUCCCCCACUGGGGACAGGGCAGUUUCAGUCAAGGUCGCACGUCUGGCCGCCGUUCAGGUGCUGUCGGCCAGUCAAACGCAGGACCAGGACUGCCCUCGGGCAUUUCUCCCACAGCAGAGGUGGGCGGGGACAAGGGAAAGAAGAAAGUGUCGGCUUCUCCCUACUGCGACUUCUGCCUCGGCGAUGCAUCAGAGAAUAAGAAGACUGGGGCGCCUGAGAGCUUGGUGUCGUGUGCAGAUUGCGGUCGUUCAGGUCACCCAACUUGUCUUCAGUUUACGUCUAACAUGAUGAAGAGCGUUGUGAAGUACAGGUGGCAGUGUAUUGAAUGUAAGACGUGCACUCUUUGUGGCACUUCUGAGAACGAUGAUCAACUCUUGUUCUGUGACGACUGUGACCGCGGUUAUCACCUCUACUGCCUCACCCCACCCCUGUCAGAACCUCCAGAGGGCGAAUGGUCGUGUUACCUCUGCCUCCGAGAAUUCCACACCAAGUAAAGCCCUUGCUGGUGGCUAGUACAAUUCACAGAGUUGUUAAACGUCAUCCAUCCAGCACGUUGGAAGCAGGCACCAGAAGGUGGACGCAUAUUGCAGGUCAUCUAUUCAGUCAAUAGGUUGUCUAGAGAGGCAUUUUGGAUAACUGGCUGGAUAGAGGAAGAGAGAGAGUGAGCAGCUUUCUUGUAUAGAGUGAUCUCAAGUGAUAGAUGAGAACGUACUUUUACUCUCAAAAAAUAGAUUGUUUUAUACCUGUUUACCAUGAGAAGGGGUGCCUCGGGAGCCCCAGCUUUCCAUGACAUUUCGGUGUCACUUUCCUAUUUUUAGUGAAUCACAUAAUAAACCUUUAUUAUGACUUGAACUAGUUCUGCUGAGGGACUGAAAUACCUCGUAUCAGGGGGGAAUAGAGUACGAAUAUCUACUUUUAAUUUUUUUCCCCCUUUUUAUCUCUUUCUUCCUCAGUAGAUAAAUAAACGAUCUAGUGGAAAAAUGAUGCAUUGGCAGAACUCGAGAGUCACAAGGGUAUAGGAUGAAUCCAAAUAGUCUAGAAGAGC
rnacentral:misc_RNA from 1 species